GCCGGAAGUCACAAUACCCCUAACAAAGAUGGCGGCUAAUUUUAUUUGCGAAGCCUCCUAGUCGCUCCUUGAAGCGGUUUGACUCUAUUUAAGAGAAUGAAGAGCCCGACUCGAAGAUAAUCUUUCCAGGUUAAUUUAAAAUUUUCCUACUGCCCGAAGUACUUCCUACCGAAAAACUGUUUCUCCCCUCACGCCAUUUAAGGAACCGGCUUGCUCCCCCUCACGGAGCAAACGAGGGCACCUCUUUCUUGUUUUCGCUCCCUCCUGCUGCAGCAAGAGUCCCAAUAAAGGCUUGCCUGAAUUUCUUGUCUGGCCUUUUAUCAAUUUUUAUUGAUUAAAGAGUCCAAGGGGGCUUCCCUGGUGGCGCAGUGGUUAAGAAUCUGCCUGCCAGUGCAGGGGACAUGGGUUCGAGCCCUGGUCCGGGAAGAUCCCACAUGCCGCAGAGCAACUAAGCCCGUGUGCCACAACUACUGAGCCUGCACUCUAGAACCCGUGAGCCACAACUACUAAGCCCAUGUGCUACAAUUACUGAAGACCGCACGCCGAGAGCCUGUGCUCCACAACAAGAGAAGCCACCUCAAUGAGAAGCCCACCCACCGAAACGAAGAGUAGCCCCUGCUCGCCGCAAGUAGAGAAAGCCAGCGCACAGCAAUGAAGAACCAAUGCAGCUAAAAAUAAAAUAAAGUUUUAAAAAUUAUUUUAAAAAAAAAGAGUCCAAGGACCCUGGUGGGUGACACAUGGAACCUCUGGCCAAUAGCCUGUGAAGAACUGAACCCUGGUAACAAUGACAAGAAUGAGUAUGGGAGAAGAUCCUUUCUAGUUGUGCCUCGAGGUGAUUACAGCCCUGGCUGACACUUUGAUUAUAGUCUCUGAAGCAGGGGACCCAGUUAAGCCAUGCCUGGAUUCCUGAUCUACAGAAACUGCGAAGUAACAAUGUUGUUGUUUCAAUCCACUAAAUUUUAGGGUAAUUUGUUACACAGCAGGAGACAACUUAAUGUCCUUUACUUAUCCUAUUAUUUUGCAUAUUGUGGUUCAUUAUGAACCUGACAAUUCCAGUACCUGGAGGUGGGGAACCUUCAUCUGUUAACUGUUGUUUCUGUGGACUCUAAUUUCAAUCUUUGCUUCUGUGCUGGUGGUCUUUGUGAUAUUGAUCAGAGUCCUCUAGGGAGGAUUCACUUCUACUUCUGCAGGUUGUCAGGAGUGUUACUAUCCUGGAACUAGGUCAGCUGCCCUGGACGGCUCUUGCUUAGCUGGGGAACUACACUGAAGUUUUACAAAUCACAGCUGGCUUCAGGCUCUUGGUAAUGCCAGUGCAGUCCCAUCUAGGGCAGGAAGUUCGAUUCCAACUGCAUCUUUUUUUUAAUUUGUUUCCUUUGUGGGGGAGGGAAGAUGCUUGAAGACUACCCAUACCUCUUAUGAAACCACCAAUGUCACAAAAACAAUGUCAUAUCACCUAAUGUAUCAUAAUGCCAGAAGCUGAAGUCCAGGCUAAAAUAUCUCAUUGUUUAACUUAUCGUUUGUAAUACAUUAAUGGAAAUGGUUAAAAAUCAGUUAAUGGAGCCAAUCACGCAUUCAGCUUAUCUAAAAACAGUUUCCUUAUGGUUAGGAGGGAAUUUUAGGUACCAUUUUAAUCUCCUUACCUAUUUAUCAUUUUGCCUUUCUCCAACUUACUUUUAUCUUCCUUAUAAUUUUUUAAAAUUUAAUUACACUAGCAUACGAAAGAAGGGAGCUGCUUUAGAUUAAAAGAAAUUUAAGCCAUC
ensembl:lncRNA